rnacentral:rRNA from 1 species
UACGGAAGGCAGCAGUGGGGAAUAUUGCACAAUGGGCGCAAGCCUGAUGCAGCCAUGCCGCGUGUAUGAAGAAGGCCUUCGGGUUGUAAAGUACUUUCAGCGGGGAGGAAGGCGAUGUGGUUAAUAGCCGCGUCGAUUGACGUUACCCGCAGAAGAAGCACCGGCUAACUCCGUGCCAGCAGCCGCGGUAAUACGGAGGGUGCAAGCGUUAAUCGGAAUUACUGGGCGUAAAGCGCACGCAGGCGGUCUGUUAAGUCAGAUGUGAAAUCCCCGGGCUUAACCUGGGAACUGCAUUUUGAAACUGGCAGGCUUGAGUCUCGUAGAGGGGGUAGAAUUCCAGGUGUAGCGGUGAAAUGCGUAGAGAUCUGGAGGAAUACCGGUGGCGAAGGCGGGCCCCUGGGACGAGACUGACGCUCAGGGUGCGAAAGCGUGGGGAGCAAACAGGGAUUAGGAUAACC